GCCCGAUUGCCAACGAAGACAUACUUCUCGUCUUUAUCGUUCUUCUUAGGAAGUGGGUUUCAAGUUUCCUCAAUCGUUCGUUGAAUCUACAUGAAAGCGCUUGACUCCGCGUGAAACCGUCGUUGAGUAUGUGUGAAGCCAUAACAACUGAAGAUAAGUUUGAAUCUGUGAGCCGAACAGCCGAAGCAACAAAACAGAUAAGCUCUUUUUUUUUUUUCUUGAUCCUUUUAAUAAGAUUUUCAAAGGUUUUUAUCCAAUCCAAGAGAUGAGCCUUUUUGCUUUGGUUUUUAUCAAAACAGAGAAGCUUUGUUUUGGUUUUUCAUCAAACCCCAAAAAGGAUCAUAGGCAGACACUAAUCUGAUAGUGUGCUGACAGAUUCUUAUUUGGGGACAUUGUCCCGUUGCUGAAGCCUAGACCCAUAGAAAUUUUUAAAUCAUGGCCCCAACAACUAUUGGUUGGUGGUAGUGCAUGCCUAAAAAAUGGGGACAUUGUCCGCUUGAUGGUUGGUGGUAGUGCAAAAGAUGGAAAGUAUGACAUACUUUAGUUACCCACGGCUUUUACAUAAACAACAACAAACAACUUAAGAAAAGUUUUUAGACAGAGACUGAGAUGGUACCCACGGCUUGAUACUGUUGGAUGGAAAUGUUCCGUGGCUUUCAAAAUAGUCUUUAGACAAAAAAGACUAUCAAACAUUGGAUGGAUGGAUGGAUCAAACGACCCACAAGUCCACAACUUACCAAAAAAACACACAAAGAAUGUGAAUGUUGGAUGGAUUAAACGACAAACAAUACAACAUAAAGACUGAGAAUGUUUGGAUGGAUAAAAUGAGAAAAACAAAGACUGAGUUACCCACGGCUUAUAAAGGUUUUAAACAAAGACCUUGACUUCUAUGAAGAGUCUUUAGACAAUAUCUUACCCACGGCUUAUGAAAAGUUUUUAGACAAAGACUUUGACUUGCUUGUUACACACGGCUUAUGAAAAAGUCUUUAGAACAAGUAAGUUAAAACAGCUUUAUGAAGAGUCUUUAGACAAUACUACUGCCCACGGCAUUACAAAGGCUUUUUUUAGACAAAGACUCAACUCAACUUGGACAAUACUACUAUUACCCACGGCUUAUAAAAGGUCUUAAAGAUAGAAAUUAUGAACCCUUUAGACUUCUAAGUUUAUUUGAUGUGAAAACGACUAAAUGUGGAUGAAAAAAAAAAACUGCAUGCGGCUUAGAAAAGUCUUACACAAAGACUAUGUUUGUUUGAGUUGUUGUACGGUGAACACGACCAACAACUUAAAACAGAGACUUUGAACCAAAAGGCAAAAACCAUAUCUGUUCUUCAGUAACCACAAGGCUUCAGAGAAAGACCAACGGCUUAAAAGACGAAUAAUAUGAAAGAAAAACAGACUCUUUACUUCACCACAAGCCUCAACAAAAGGUAUUUUGACAAAGACUACAUGUCAGUGUUUAGCUUGUUGGAUGGAAAAAAAACGACCAACGGCUUAAACUAAGUAUUAAGACUUGAACUAUGAACCGAAAUUGAGUUGGAAAAAUGACUAACAGCUUGAACCAAGUCUUAUGACAGAGAGUAUGAAGUGGAAAAAUUUCUCAAAUACUGUUACCCAAGACUAUGAAUGGAAUAUAAAAAAAAUCUUUAUGAGAAUCAAAAACAGAUACCCAGAGCUUUGAAAAGUCUGUAGACAGAGAUUCUUUGGGGACAUUCAUGUCACAACUAUUGGUUGGUAGUGCAUGCCUAAGCAAAGGAUGGAAAGUCUUUAGACAGACUUUGAUUGUACCCACGGCUUAGAGAACUAACAAACGGCUUAAGAAAAGUCUUCAGACAGACUUUGAUUGUACCCACGGCGUGCAAUAAGAUUUUAGACAAAGACUGUCUUGAAAACGUCUGAUGAAGAGUCUUUAGUCCAUAUCUACCCACGGGUUAGGAAAAGUUUCUAUACAGAGACUUUGAGUUUCUUGCUACACAUGGCUUAUGAAUAGUCUUCAGACAAAUAAUGAUUUUAAAACGGCUUACUGAGAGUCUUUAGACAAUAUCUACCCACGGCUUACGAAAAAUCUUUGGUUUUAAGACAAAGACUUAACCUAGACAUACUAUACUACCCACGGCUUUAUGAAGAGUUUUCAGACAAAGACUGUUGAAUCUUAAACAGAUUUAUUGCCACAGCUUAAAAAGUCUUCAGACAAAUACUAAGGGUUAGUUUUGGACUUUGUGGAUAGAAUGGAGAAAACGUCAUAACAAUACCAGUACCCACGGCUUCAAAGAAGUUUAUACACGAAUCCAAUGAAUUGGUUUUGGAGUUGAUAUGAAUCAAAAUCAGACUCCUUACAUCACCACAAGCCUAUUUAGACAAAGACUAUAUGUCAGUGUUUAGCUUGUUUGAUGGAAAACGACCAACACAGAGUGUAUGAACCACACAUUGAGUUGGUUCUUCUGACUUGUUGCUUGGGAAAACUCACCAAUGACUUAAGACAGAGACUAUGAACCAAGUCUUACGGCUUAUAUGAAUUUCUCAGAUACAUAAACCUAAGACUUUGAACAGAAUAGAAAGACUUUUAAUGAUAACUGAAAACAGAUAUCAUAACGUGAAGUAAAGACUAAUGAAUUCUGUUUUUUUCUCAGGUAUGCAUGUGCUUCAGAAGGUGCUCAUUUUAAGUGUAGCAGGUUUCUUUGUAAUUAUGCUUUCUAAAUUUCUCAGGUUUGGGCUUGCUUGUUCAUUAUCUCGUUGAUGCCAAGGUUCUGUUCAGGUAUAUGCUUUUCUUGACUUUUUCUCUUCUGAAAAUUUAUAAAGUAGUUAAGUGAUGUACACGUAAACUAAAGAAACUGGAGAAAAGUAACUGAAAUGUUUUUCUUAGAAAAAAUAACAUUUUGUUUGUGUGUCAGUGUUUGUAAUCCCUAAUUUUGUGAAAUGAAUGUAUGUUGGAGUCUCUUGGAAAUCAAAGUAAGUGAGAGACUCCUGCAUAUUGUGGUGGUAGUUUAAAAAAAAAAAAUUAUAAUGUUUCUCUUUUGUGUUAUACUCCUAAAAUCCAGUGAUCAUUCUAAAACAAUGUUAGUAAUCUCUUUAUAGUUUGGCGCUUAGAGUUACUUAUAGAUCAACAUAUGUGAAGACUGCAGAUUGUAGUAUUAUUUUCUUUGGAUAUUGAAUGUUUGUGUGUUUGUGUGUUUGUGUACGGACAUUACCCUCUGUGAUCAGUGUAAACAUGCGAAAUGACAUCUUCACAUUUAUGCAUUUAACGCUGCUGAUUGCUAUGUUAGAUUCGAAUUGUAUAUGUUUGUAUUUCCAUUAGCUUUGGUUUGGUGCUUGUGAAAUGGUUGUGCUUUGGAGUCUAUUGUAGAUCAAUGUAGGUGAGAGACUCCUGCAGAUUGUGGUGGUAGUUUCUUUGAAUCUUGAAUGUUUCUGUUUUGUGUUAUACUCCUCCUAACCCUCAGUGAUCAUUCUAACAGUGUUAGUAAUUUCUUCAGUUUGGUGCUUGUAUGUAUUAUAAGGUCUCUCAUUUUAUGAAAUAGAUGCAUAUUCAAAUCUCUUCUCUUGUCAAUCAACAUGUGUGAAAGACUGCAGAUUUUGGUAGUAGUUUCACUGAAUCUUGAUUGAUUAUGUUUACUUUUAGGCGCAUAACUCUCUGGUGAUCAUUAUAAACAUGUGAAAUGACAUCUUCAGAAUUUUGCAUUCUACCUUGAUGAUUACUAUAACUAUGUUAAAUACUAUAAAUUGUAUAUGUUGACUUGAAGUUUCCCUGCUAUGGUACUUGUGUUUAUCCCUUGGUUUUUGAGUCUUGACAACAUUUCUCUCAUUUAUGUAGUUUCCUUGAAUCUUGAAUGUUUAUGUUUUGUGUUAUGCUCCUAACGCUUGGUGAGCAUUCGAAACAUGUUCACAUUUUCUAGAAUUGUGCAUCAUAUGCCGACGCUUACAUGUUACAUUCUAUAAAUUAUACAUGUUGAAUUUAAUUUUUACAUUUUCUAGAAUUGUGCAUCGUAUUAAGCAUGGAAACCUAUUGAAUCAAUAUGUGGAGUUAUUAGAAUGUGCAACUGAUCAUUCUCGAGUUUUUAUUAUUGAUAGAUGUCACAUUCAAGAUAUUAGUCGUAUCUAAAAUCUAUAUGUAAUCAUGUGAGUAGGUGUUCUAUCAUAUUUACAUAUUGAAACAAUAUACAUUAUUACAAAAUUUUACUAUAUAUAUUUAAACUUUUAAGUCUUAACCCCCCCCCACCCCACCACAAACAAAAUCUUCCUUUUCCGAUUAAUAACCUAACCAUUUUUUUUUAAUAACCUAAACAUAAAGUACAUUUAGUUGAAUAUUUAUUCAACUUAUGUCUCCAAUCUUUACAAGCAGCUAAAGUCUAUCUUUCUCAUUGAUAUGAGAACAAACCAAUGUACUGAUCGUACUGCCAACUUAUCUUCAUGUGAUUAAAGGGUAUCAACUUACUGAUCGUACUGCCAACUUAUCUUCAUGUGAUUAAAGGGUAUCAACUUAGUGGACAUCCGUUAAGGCAAUGGCAUGACACUAUGGGACGAUCGUUACGGCACGUGGACAUAAUUUAAUUACCAGAAUAAAGUCUGGUAUCUUUUCUUUGUUUUUAUUUUCACUGAUAAUGUUUUGGAAGUGAUGGAUAUAAAUGUUUGAAAAAGAAGAUAAAUGUACCAAGUAGAAGGAUAGUAUUUGCAGAGAGAUAACUCUGUAAAGUUAUAAAAUCCCUACAGGAUGAUGAA